UAAAGCAAAUCGCUUUUUUUAACAAAACAAAGUCAACGAUUUGUUAAUUUAUAUAAGCAUAACUUUAUAAACAUAUGUGGGAAUUUUUUUCGUGUCGAAAACUUGGAGUACUCGCACAUCGUUACAAUGUACAGUACAGCCUGCUUAAUACGUUUACGUCGAGUGCGCUAUACAUAUGUACAUACAUUUAUUUCUCAAGAGCAUACAUAGUACAUAAAGACCAGUGUUUUACGUGAGCACCUGUCACAAGUGACUUUAUCACACGAUGCCCGAGCACAGGGAUACAAUUUAAGCGUUGAUCAGCGCCCGUUGGAGACUCUCCGCAGGUGCACACUGAAACACCGGCUAUUUGGGCUGGGCACUUCCUCCUAUGUGAGGAGCGAGGCCUACCUAAAACCUCUGACGAUACAUUAAACAACAACAACAAUAAAAUUCAACAAAUUAAAAUAACACAAAAAUAAAUAAGUCGUUAGAAUUUAAAUUUAAAUAUUUAGGCGCGCGUAGGCGUACGUUAGGUAUGUGGGUGACAGUGGAGAGUUACAGCGCUGUAAAGUGACAGGCGGAAAUUCACCAUUUGGUGAAUUUCGGUCUCACUUGAGCUUGUUAAGAUCUGCACCAUCAAGGUUAGACCUUUUCUAUCAAAGAUCGCAAAAGGAAGCAGACGUAUUGGAAAAAUUCUGCUGUGAAAAAACAAGAUCCAACCAGAAAUCUCAAAAUUCUUAAGGCCUCGUGGCCAAGAAAAUAAAAAUUUUGUUAAUCUGGGUAAUCUGGAUCACCCCCGUUGCUUUUAAAAAGAAAAUCUGGCAUCCACUUGAUACUCCACAGUGCCGUCCAGGCGAGGAGUCUCCAUUAAAUAAAAGGAAUAAUCUUUGCUACCAGCCAACCGGCAAAGGAGAGUGACAGACAGCAGCAGCAGUAUGGGUGCAGAGAGCCGACCACGACAUGGGGGAGGAAAAAAAUAUAUAAAUAAAUUAAAAAAAUUAAUUAAAAUGAAAAAUAAAUUUAAAAUAACGAAAAGCAUAGAUAGCGAGUGAAAGUCGCUAAGAAAGAAAAAAAACCCUUGCGGCUGAAUAAGAAUUAAGAAUAAAAAAAACGAAAAGCCCAAAACCAACUUAAAAAAAGUGAAAAGAAUAGCAAUUAAAAACAUAAGAAAAGUAUUAGUGAAAAAAGUGAGCAAGAGCAGAAAGAAAGAAAAAAUGGAGCAGUGGUAUAUACAUUGUGUGUGUGUGAGAAUAACAAGAAAAAAACGAAUAAUACACUCGAUAGAACAUUUUUUGUUGUUUUUUUAUGUGCCUAAUAUAUCUAAAGAAAAAAUUGUCGCAAAGCAAUCAAGGGCAGAACAAAUUGUGAAAUUAAAUAAUUUAAAAAAAAACAACACCACAUCGUCAAGAAGGCCUUCAUCGAGGAAAUUUGGCUUGAUCAAUUAAACUUUAUAAUGAUGAUAAAAUUCUAAGUUAUCCGUUCGUUUCUGAUGACAUGGGAGCAAAGGAAGGGGUAAAUAAUAAGCGGCGCUUGGGGUCUUCACUUAAAUAUACAUUAAAAGACUAUGGCUGAAAAAGGAGAGUGACAUCAACACCUCAGUCCAC